CAAGGCCUCAGGGUAUCUAUUUACUUAAUAAUCCAUUGUCUGCUGGGAAACACCCCUCACCCUGAUUGAGUUUCAUUUGCAUAGACUGAGUCUUGAUUUUAGUGUUUUCCAGGACUGGUACCCAAACUUUGUUUCAGGGUUUCUUCUCUGUUGCUCUGUUCUUGAAUGGCAAGGCCUCAGGGUAUCUAUUUAAUGAUCCAUCGUUUACUGGGGAAAAACCCUGACCCUAGGUGAUUUUAAUUUGCAUGGGAUCGGUCUUGAUUCUAGUGUUUUUUCAGUGAGCUAGGGAUGUUUAGCCUGGAGAAGAGAAGGUUAAAAGGUGAAAUGAUAGCCCUGUAUAAAUAAUUGAAGGGAUAUCAUAUUGAAGACGGAGCAAGCUUGUUUUCUGUUGCUUUUAACAGGAUUCACAGCCAUCAACAUCAUUUUAAAGAAGAGAGAGAAAUACAACUUUCCCUAUAAUACACGUAUCGAUGUCAAAGAAUGCCACAAAAGCACCUCCAGGGAAAAGGCUUGGUGAGAGCAAACUGACCUUACCACCAAUUCAUAUCAAACCUGAUGGGAAAUGAUUUUGGGAAAUCGCUCCCAAACGGAAGUAACACCAGCAUUUGAAUAAAGGGCAUGCAACCAAUCUACACAAUCAUACGUUCUUUGUUAUGUGCUGGAAGAAUGGUUGCCCAAACUCCAGGGUUCAGCAAAAAAGAGAAAGAGACAGAAAUGUAGCCAUGCGAUCUUCCCUCCCAUUUCUAAGUUCCAAAACACACUGGACACGUGUGGACAUGCUCCAGUGUGCCCAUAUCUGUUUUGAAUUGUGGUGCCCAGAACUGGACACAGUAUUCCAGGUGGGGCCUGACCAAAGCAGAAUAGAGCAGCACUAUUACUUUCCUUGAUCUAGACACUAUACUUCUAUUGAUUGCAUUGGUCUUUUUAGCUGCCGCAUCGCACUGUUGACUCUGGUUCAACUUGCGGUCUACUUGGUCUACCAUGGUUCUGGUCUUUCAUGAAGGGGUGAACUCAGGUGAUGGUGCUGGGGGACUCCUGUUUGAUACUCUGGACAUUGACCUGUGGGGUCCCUUGGGGUUCAGUUUUGUCCUCCUUGCUGUUUCUACGUGCAGCCGUUGGGAGAUGUCCUCUGGAAUUUGGGUGUCUGGUGUCACCAGUAUGUUGCU